rnacentral:rRNA from 1 species
UUGCCUACGGGGGGCAGCAGUGGGGAAUAUUGCACAAUGGGGGAAACCCUGAUGCAGCGACGCCGCGUGAGUGAAGAAGUAUCUCGGUAUGUAAAGCUCUAUCAGCAGGAAAGAUAAUGACGGUACCUGACUAAGAAGCCCCGGCUAACUACGUGCCAGCAGCCGCGGUAAUACGUAGGGGGCAAGCGUUAUCCGGAUUUACUGGGUGUAAAGGGAGCGUAGACGGCAGCGCAAGUCUGGAGUGAAAUGCCGGGGCCCAACCCCGGAACUGCUUUGGAAACUGUGCGGCUCGAGUGCGGGAGAGG